rnacentral:sRNA from 1 species
GCUGGGUAUGGUGGCGGGCGCCUGUAGUCCCAGUCACUCGGGAGGCUGAGGCAGGAGAAUGGCGUGAACCUGGGAGGCAGAGCUUGCAGUGAGCUGAGAUCGCGCCACCUGUACUCCAGCCUGGGCAACAGAGUGAGACUCCAGUUCAAAAAAAAAAAAAAAAAAAACAGAGAAAGGGACGUUCUUUUUUUUUUUUUUUUGAGACGGAGUCUCGCUCUGUCACCCAGGCUGGAGUGCAGUGGCCGGAUCUCAGCUCACUGCAAGCUCCGCCUCCCGGGUUCACGCCAUUCUCCUGCCUCAG